CCGUGGCCCGGCGGCGCCCGGCGCAGGGGAAAGUUUCUCGGCGCGGCGGCGGCGGCGGCUCCCGUGAGCCCGAGCUCCCCCCCGCCCCCGGGAAGGGCCCGCGCUGCAGCGCCCCCUGCAGCCGCCCGGCCCGAGCUGCCGCAGCCUCGCCGGGUCCGGCUGGGGGGGGCGGCCCCCGGCAGCAUUUCUCCGCUCCAGCCCGGCCAGAGAGGGAGCCCGCGGCUGGGAUGCAGCCUCGCAGGGGUGAGAGGAGCUUUAGAAAGACGCCACCUCCAUCAACCUGAUACUCCGAAGCUGACACAGACCAGCACAAGGCUGAAAUAAAGGGCGGAAAUUGGUGGACACCUGAUGGCCUGAGAGUGCAGGAGGAGAGCGAGAGAAAGAAGAGGGCUCCAACAUUUGACUAGCCACUCGGAUCAAAAAGGGGGGACACUCUUGCAGCAUCAGAGGUAUCCGAAAGAGUGAGAUAGGCGUCACCUAGGACGUGGAACCCGAGGAUUUACCACAGAUCAUCAUCAUGCUCUUUUGCCCGGUCAAACCAUCCCUGAAGUUUCCUAAAGCCUCGUGGGAUAAUUUGCUUGGAGACAUGGGCGGCAGCUUUCGUUGCCACUGAACAUGGCCAAAUGAGGCAUCUCAAGCCGCAGAGGGUGCUGCUAAUGAGAAUGCCAUCAGCUGAUUUAUCCCUUUGACUAGAGGAACUUCUAUGACCCUGUAGCAUGAGUCCACAGAGCAGCUGUCUGUGCCCCUGGAUCUGUUCUCCAAGAGGAAAUGUUUGUAAACUACAUUAAUUUUUCAGGCUCGCCUGAGGAGCCAGUUGGCCUUUUGUUCACUCGUGCAUUACUCAAACCACAAUCAGCCCUAUGACUGAGUGACAGCAACCUCUCUGUCUCUGUUUAAAAGAAACUCCACAUCAAAGGGUAUCCAUCCAAGCCAAGGAAGGCCUUCGUAUAUAUUUGAAAACACAAUAACAUAGGAAUUAUGAAACAUACAGGCUUCAAAGCAGCAACAUCCCUUCCCCUGCCUACGAAACAUCAUGUGACCAAUACAGCUUAACCGUCCCACCAAGAGACUUGAGUGAAUUUGGUGUUGAUGAAACGUGGUGGAUUGACAGCUUUGGGCCAGUUCUGCACUAGAGAUCUGAGCCAUUGGUAAUCUGACUGGUACCAUUGCAUUUAGGGUAAAUUGGCUGAAAUUGGCAACAAGGGGCCAGUUGCCGUGAGGGGUGCGGCUGGUAAAGGUGGAUUGCAAAGUCUCAUUACAGUUGAGAAUGAUUAGAGUAAACUUCAGAGGAUGCACACAGCCACCUCUGAUGUAAGACCUUUUUCAACUGUAUAUUCAUAAUAAGUCUCCCUUAACUCAUGUGUUCAGUUUCUGUUACUUGAAAACGUGGUGUUAAAGUAUAAAUAUUGUAGCCAGUUACUUCAUUCUAUCAUUCAUUUAUUGUGUGUUGUGUGAUGUUAAGUUUACCUAACAUACCAUGUAAUAUAUAAUCAUUGUAUGUUGAAUAGACUGAAGUGGUAGGAUUAUAGGCCUAUAAGAUUGAUCAGUAAUUAGAAGGGAUAAAUAUGUAUUAGGUAUCUAAGUAAAUAGGGCUGAAAUGUGAGGCCUACAGGCUGAGGCCUGUAUGAUUUUAGCUUAGCCAUACUAGGCCUUAGAAUUAAGAAAUGCUUGACAUAAAUGACCAAAAAAUAACCCGAUGCCAUAAGAUUACAGGGGAAAAAUGUACCAAUGGGUGAUAUUGCGAAAAAUUAGCCAUAAGAUUCAUUUUAGAUCACAAAAUGCCCGAGAGGUACCUUUUUUCUAACACAUGCCUUACCCGCAGGAUGCAGGUUGUGCAUCAGUACUAAUGAGAAUAAAAGGAACUACACACAACCUAUGAGAAAUGCGGUACCCCAAUAUUCUUGGAGACACAAUAUGAAUGAGGAAAAAGAGGGUUGACACUUUCACACACAGGCAUAGUCAGAAUCACAUUGAAAAAGAGGGUGCCCAGAUUGGGAAAAUUGAGUUCCCUAUGGGAAAAUUCCAACAGGAACCAUCCCUCUCCUGAUGAUCAAUUAAUGAGAGAUCCAUCAGACCGUAAGACUAUCUAGGAGGAUGUGAGUAUGACUGUAGCUAUAAUUUGUGCGUGGAUAUGUGUAGGAUUUAUCUAUACUUGAAUAGUCAUAACUUUGCUGGUAAUUUAAUAAAAUUUAGAAAGGCUGUUAGACAUUGUUCUUGUGACUGUCUGUGUUGCUUUCCUUGUUCCU